rnacentral:rRNA from 1 species
UACGUAGGGACCAAGCGUUGUUCGGAUUUACUGGGUUUAAAGGGUGUGUAGGCGGACUUUUAAGUCAGCGGUGAAAUCUCCGGGCUCAACCCGGAAACUGCCAUUGAUACUAUUAGUCUUGAAUAUUGUUGAGGUAGGCGGAACGGGUCAUGUAGCGGUGAAAUGCAUAGAUAUGACCCGGAACACCGAUUGCGAAGGCAGCCUACUAAGCAAUUAUUGACGCUGAGGCACGAAAGCGUGGGGAUCAAACAGG